rnacentral:rRNA from 1 species
GACGAACGCUGGCGGCGUGCUUAACACAUGCAAGUCGAACGGAAAGGCCCUGCUUUUGUGGGGUGCUCGAGUGGCGAACGGGUGAGUAACACGUGAGUAACCUGCCCUUGACUUUGGGAUAACUUCAGGAAACUGGGGCUAAUACCGGAUAGGAGCUCCUGCUGCAUGGUGGGGGUUGGAAAGUUUCGGCGGUUGGGGAUGGACUCGCGGCUUAUCAGCUUGUUGGAGGGUAGUGGCUUACCAAGGCUUUGACGGGUAGCCGGCCUGAGAGGGUGACCGGCCACAUUGGGACUGAGAUACGGCCCAGACUCCUACGGGAGGCAGCAGUGGGGAAUAUUGCACAAUGGGCGGAAGCCUGAUGCAGCAACGCCGCGUGCGGGAUGACGGCCUUCGGGUUGUAAACCGCUUUCGCCUGUGACGAAGCGUGAGUGACGGUAAUGGGUAAAGAAGCACCGGCUAACUACGUG